rnacentral:rRNA from 1 species
AGAGUUUGAUCCUGGCUCAGGACGAACGCUGGCGGCGUGCCUAAUACAUGCAAGUCGAACGAAGCUUUCUUUCACCGAAUGCUUGCAUUCACCGAAAGAAGCUUAGUGGCGAACGGGUGAGUAACACGUAGGCAACCUGCCCAAAAGAGGGGGAUAACACUUGGAAACAGGUGCUAAUACCGCAUAACCAUGAACACCGCAUGAUGUUCGUGUAAAAGACGGCUUUUGCUGUCACUUUUGGAUGGGCCUGCGGCGUAUUAACUUGUUGGUGGGGUAACGGCCUACCAAGGUGAUGAUACGUAGCCGAACUGAGAGGUUGAUCGGCCACAUUGGGACUGAGACACGGCCCAAGCUCCUACGGGAGGCAGCAGUAGGGAAUCUUCCACAAUGGACGAAAGUCUGAUGGAGCAACGCCGCGUGAAUGAAGAAGGCCUUCGGGUCGUAAAAUUCUGUUGUCAGAGAAGAAUGUGCGUGAGAGUAACUGUUCACGUAUUGACGGUAUCUGACCAGAAAGCCACGGCUAACUACGUGCCAGCAGCCGCGGUAAUACGUAGGUGGCAAGCGUUGUCCGGAUUUAUUGGGCGUAAAGGGAACGCAGGCGGUCUUUUAAGUCUGAUGUGAAAGCCUUCGGCUUAACCGAAGUAGUGCAUUGGAAACUGGAAGACUUGAGUGCAGAAGAGGAGAGUGGAACUCCAUGUGUAGCGGUGAAAUGCGUAGAUAUAUGGAAGAACACCAGUGGCGAAAGCGGCUCUCUGGUCUGUAACUGACGCUGAGGUUCGAAAGCGUGGGUAGCAAACAGGAUUAGAUACCCUGGUAGUCCACGCCGUAAACGAUGAGUGCUAAGUGUUGGAGGGUUUCCGCCCUUCAGUGCUGCAGCUAACGCAUUAAGCACUCCGCCUGGGGAGUACGGUCGCAAGACUGAAACUCAAAGGAAUUGACGGGGGCCCGCACAAGCGGUGGAGCAUGUGGUUUAAUUCGAAGCAGCGCGAAGAACCUUACCAGGUCUUGACAUCUUCUGACAAUUCCAGAGAUGGAACGUUCCCUUCGGGGACAGAAUGACAGGUGGUGCAUGGUUGUCGUCAGCUCGUGUCGUGAGAUGUUGGGUUAAGUCCCGCAACGAGCGCAACCCUUAUCUUCAGUUACUAACGCGUGAGGGUGAGGACUCUGAAGAGACUGCCGGGGACAACCCGGAGGAAGGUGGGGAC